GGAAAGAAGGGGGAGGGGGCGGCGGGAAGAGGUGGGUGGCUGGCGGUGAUGGGAAUGACUGGGUUGAAGGUGUGCGCCGGCGGCCGCGCAAGUCGAGUGUGAAAGCCCCGGGGUUAACUUGGGAAUUGCGCUCGAAACGACGUGGCUGGAGUGUGGCAGAGGAAGGUGGAAUUCCACGUGUAGCGGUGAAAUGCGUAGAGAUGUGGAGGAACACCGAUGGCGAAGGCAGCCUUCUGGGCGAACACUGAUGCUCAUGCACGAAAGCGUGGGGAGCAAACAGGAUUAGAUACCCUGGUAGUC
rnacentral:rRNA from 1 species